AUUGAACGCUGGCGGCAGGCUUAACACAUGCAAGUCGCACGAGUGGCGGCCGGGUGAGUAAUGCUUGGGAAUCUAGCUUAUGGAGAGGGAUAACUACGGGACACUGUAGCUAAUCCCGCGUACCAUCGGCUUCGCCCAAGUGGGAUUAGGUAGUUGGUGAGGUAAAGGCUCACCCAGCCGACGAUCUCUAGCUGGUCUGCGAGGAUGACCAGCCACACUGGGACUGAUACACGGCCCAGACGCCUACGGGAGGCAGCAGUGGGGAAUAUUGGGCAAUGGGGGCAACCUGACGCAGCCAUGCCGCGUGAAUGAAGAAGGCCUUCGGGUUGUAAAGUUCUGUCGGUAGCGAGGCGUUAACUACAGAAGAAGCACCGGCUAACUCCGUGCCAGCCGCCGCGGUAAUAC
rnacentral:rRNA from 1 species